UCUCACUCCUCACUGCUAUCUCCUCACUGCUCUCACUCCUCACUGCUCUCACUCCUCACUGCUCUCACUCCUCACUGCUCUCACUCCUCACUGCUAUCUCCUCACUGCUCUCACUCCUCACUGCUCUCACUCCUCACUGAUCUCACUCCUCACUGCUCUCUCUCUCCUCACUGCUCUCACUCCACACUGCUCUCACUCCUCACUGCUCUCUCUCUCCUCACUGCUCUCUAUCUCCUCACUGCUCUCACCCCUCACUGCUCUCACUCCACACUGCUCUCACUCCUCACUGCUCACUGCUCUCUCACUCCUCACUGCUCUCACUCCUCACUGCUCUCACUCCUCACUGCUCUCACUCCUCACUGCUCUCUCUCUCCUCACUGCUCUCUAUCUCCUCACUGCUCUCACUCCUCACUGCUCUCUCUCUCCUCACUGCUCUCACUCCACACUGCUCUCACUCCUCACUGCUCUCUCUCUCCUCACUGCUCUCUAUCUCCUCACUGCUCUCACCCCUCACUGCUCUCACUCCUCACUGCUCUCACUCCUCACUGCUCUCACUCCACACUGCUCUCACUCCUCACUGCUCUCUCACUCCUCACUGCUCUCACUCCUCACUGCUCUCACUCCACACUGCUCUCACUCCUCACUGCUCUCUCACUCCUCACUGCUCUCACUCCUCACUGCUCUCACUCCUCACUGCUCUCACUCCACACUGCUCUCACUCCUCACUGCUCUCUCACUCCUCACUGCUCUCUAUCUCCUCACUGCUCUCACUCCACACUGCUCUCACUCCUCACUGCUCUCUCACUCCUCACUGCUCUCUAUCUCCUCACUGCUCUCACUCCUCACUGCUCUCUCUCCUCACUGCUCUCACUCCUCACUGCUCUCACUCCUCACUGCUCUCACUCCUCACUGCUCUCACUCCUCACUGCUCUCUCACUCCUCACUGCUCUCACUCCUCACUGCUCUCACUCCACACUGCUCUCACUCCUCACUGCUCUCUCACUCCUCACUGCUCUCACUCCUCACUGCUCUCACUCCUCACUGCUCUCACUCCUCACUGCUCUCACUCCUCACUGCUCUCACUCCACACUGCUCUCACUCCUCACUGCUCUCUCACUCCUCACUGCUCUCACUCCUCACUGCUGUCACUCCACACUGCUCUCACUCCUCACUGCUCUCUCACUCCUCACUGCUCUCACUCCUCACUGCUCUCACUCCACACUGCUCUCACUCCUCACUGCUCUCUCACUCCUCACUGCUCUGACUGCUCACUGCUCUCACUCCACACUGCUCUCACUCCUCACUGCUCUCACUCCUCACUGCUCUCACUCCUCACUGCUCUCUCUCCUCACUGCUCUCACUCCUCACUGCUCUCUCACUCCUCACUGCUCUCACUCCUCACUGCUCUCACUCCACACUGCUCUCACUCCUCACUGCUCUCUCACUCCUCACUGCUCUCACUCCUCACUGCUCUCACUCCUCACUGCUCUCACUCCUCACUGCUCUCACUCCUCACUGCUCUCACUCCACACUGCUCUCACUCCUCACUGCUCUCUCACUCCUCACUGCUCUCACUCCUCACUGCUGUCACUCCACACUGCUCUCACUCCUCACUGCUCUCUCACUCCUCACUGCUCUGACUCCUCACUGCUCUCACUCCACACUGCUCUCACUCCUCACUGCUCUCACUCCUCACUGCUCUCACUCCUCACUGCUCUCUCUCCUCACUGCUCUCACUCCUCACUGCUCUCUCUCCGCACUGCUCUCCUCACUGCUCUCUCUCCUCACUGCUCUCACUCCUCACUGCUCUCUCUCUGCACUGCUCUCUCUCCUCACUGCUCUCACUCCUCACUGCUCUCUCUCCUCACUGCUCUCACUCCUCACUGCUCUCACUCCUCACUGCUCUCUCUCUCCUCACUGCUCUCUAUCUCCUCACUGCUCUCACCCCACACUGCUCUCACUCCUCACUGCUCUCUCUCCUCACUGCUCUCACUCCACACUGCUCUCUCACUCCUCACUGCUCUCUCUCUCCUCACUGCUCUCUAUCUCCUCACUGCUCUCUCUCCUCACUGCUCUCACUCCUCACUGCUCUCUCACUCCUCACUGCUCUCACUCCUCACUGCUCUCACUCCACACUGCUCUCACUCCUCACUGCUCUCUCACUCCUCACUGCUCUCACUCCUCACUGCUCUCACUCCACACUGCUCUCACUCCUCACUGCUCUCUCACUCCUCACUGCUCUCACACCUCACUGCUCUCUCUCCUCACUGCUCUCACUCCACACUGCUCUCACUCCUCACUGCUCUCACUCCUCACUGCUCUCACUCCACACUGCUCUCACUCCACACUGCUCUCACUCCUCACUGCUCUCUCUCCUCACUGCUCUCACUCCUCACUGCUCUCUCUCCUCACUGCUCUCACUCCACACUGCUCUCACUCCUCACUGCUCUCACUCCUCACUGCUCUCACUCCACACUGCUCUCACUCCUCACUGCUCUCACUCCUCACGCCCUCACUCCUCACUGCCCUCUCUCCUUACUGCUCUCACUCCUCACUGCUCUCUAUCUUGUCACUGCUCUCUCUCCUCACUGCUCUCUCUCCUCACUGCUCUCUCUCCACACUGCUCUCUCUCCGCACUGCUCUCCUCAGUGCUCUCUCCUCACUGCUCUCACUCCUCACUGCUCUCUCUCUGCACUGCUCUCUCUCCUCACUGCUCUCACUCCUCACUGCUCUCUCUCCUCACUGCUCUCACUCCUCACUGCUCUCACUCCUCACUGCUCUCUCUCCUCACUGCUCUCACUCCUCACUGCUCUCUCUCCUCACUGCUCUCUCUCCUCACUGCUCUCACUCCUCACUGCUCUCUCUCCUCACUGCUCUCACUCCUCACUGCUCUCUCUCCUCACUGCUCUCUCUCCUCACUGCUCUCUCUCCUCACUGCUCUCACUCCUCACUGCUCUCUCACUCCUCACUGCUCUCACUCCUCACUGCUCUCACUCCACACUGCUCUCACUCCUCACUGAUCUCACUCCUCACUGCUCUCACUCCUCACUGCCCUCUCUCCUUACUGCUCUCACUCCUCACUGCUCUCUAUCUUGUCACUGCUCUCACUCCACACUGCUCUCACUCCUCACUGCUCUCUCUCCUCACUGCUCUCACUCCUCACUGCUCUCUCUCCUCACUGCUCUCACUCCUCACUGCUCUCUCUCCUCACUGCUCUCUCUCCUCACUGCUCUCACUCCUCACUGCUCUCUCUCCUCACUGCUCUCACUCCUCACUGCUCUCUCUCCUCACUGCUCUCUCUCCUCACUGCUCUUUCUCCUCACUGCUCUCACUCCUCACUGCUCUCUCUCCUCACUGCUCUCUCUCCUCACUGCUCUCACUCCUCACUGCUCUCUCACUCCUCACUGCUCUCACUCCUCACUGCUCUCACUCCACACUGCUCUCACUCCUCACUGA
rnacentral:lncRNA from 1 species